rnacentral:rRNA from 1 species
GUGAGGAAUAUUGCGCAAUGGAGGCAACUCUGACGCAGCCAUGCCGCGUGCAGGAAGAAGGCGCUACGCGUUGUAAACUGCUUUUAACCGGGAAGAAACCCCAGGACGUGUCCUGGGUUGACGGUACCGGAGGAAUAAGCACCGGCUAACUUCGUGCCAGCAGCCGCGGUAAUACGAAGGGUGCAAGCGUUAUCCGGAUUCAUUGGGUUUAAAGGGUGCGUAGGCGGAGCGUUAAGUCAGUGGUGAAAUCCUGCAGCUUAACUGUAGACUUGCCAUUGAUACUGGCGCUCUUGAGUGCGCUUGAAGUGGGCGGAAUGUGCCGUGUAGCGGUGAAAUGCUUAGAUAUGGCACAGAACACCAAUUGCGAAGUCAGCUCACUAAGGCGAUACUGACGCUGAGGCACGAAAGCGUGGGGAUCGAACAGGAUUAGAAACCCGAGUAGUCC